rnacentral:rRNA from 1 species
GUGUCAGCCGCCGCGGUAAAACGUAGGAGGCGAGCGUUAUCCGGAUUUACUGGGUGUAAAGCGCGUGCAGGCGGUUCGCUAAGUUGGAUGUGAAAGCUCCCGGCUCAACUGGGAGAGGUCGUACAAGACUGGCGGACUGGAGUAUGGUAGGGGAAGGUGGAAUUCCGGGUGUAGUGGUGAAAUGCGUAGAUAUCCGGAGGAACACCAGUGGCGAAGGCGGCCUUCUAGACCAUGACUGACGCUCAGACGCGAAAGCUAGGGUAGCAAACGGGAUUAGAAACCCCUGUAGUCC